rnacentral:rRNA from 1 species
UACGGGGGGGGCAAGCGUUGUUCGGAAUUACUGGGCGUAAAGGGCUCGUAGGCGGCCAACUAAGUCAGACGUGAAAUCCCUCGGCUUAACCGGGGAACUGCAUCUGAUACUGGAUGGCUUGAGAUUGGGAGAGGGAUGCGGAAUUCCAGGUGUAGCGGUGAAAUGCGCAGAUAUCAGGAAGAACACCGGUGGCGAAGGCGGCUCUCUGGGCCUUGCCUGACGCUGAGGAGCGAAAGCGUGGGUAGCGAACAGG